rnacentral:ncRNA from 1 species
UUAAUUCGAUACAACGCGCAAAACCUUACCACCCCUUGACAUAUGAACAACAAAACCUGUCCUUAACAGGAUGGUACUGACUUUCAUACAGGUGCUGCAUGGAUGUCGUCAGCCCGUGUCAUGAGAUGUUUGGUCAAGUCCUAUAACGAGUGAAACCCUCGUUUUCUGUUGAUGAGACAUGCGCCUAAGGAGAAAUUGCCACCGAGUGACGUGCCAGCGCUACUACUUGAUUGAGUGCUAG